UAAUGCUUUUGAAAAGAUCCAUUCAUCUGAGUCAUCCUAGAUGAUGGAGAACAGUAUGAGCUUUGGACUGAACAGAAGACUCUCCCUCCUCUGACUGGCAUCAGCAUGGUACAGAAAAGAUGGCUGAGAGUGUUCUCCAUUCCCCAGCAAUGAGGAAGCCUGAUGGCCAGAAGGAACAUGGGAACCAUUGCACAUGGCACAGAGCAGGUUGCAGAAACCUUAGCCAGGAGUGCUCCCAUGAAGACAUAUCAAGAUUUUACAUGUCAAGAUUUCAAGGAACAGAACAAAUACCUAAAGCUGAAAAUAUCACGCAGAAAGAAUAGGAUGAAGAAACUGGGGACAGAGACAAGGCACUUACUCAAGCUCACCCAGUUGCUCAGCAGCAAUACGGAAACUAUAAC